rnacentral:tRNA from 7 species
GCUUGUCUAGCCCAGUUGGUAGAGCACAAUGCUUUUCACCUUGAGGUCCUGAGUUCAAGCCCAUAGUUUGCA